UCGGCAACGGAUAUCUCGGCUCUCGCAUCGAUGAAGAACGUAGCGAAAUGCGAUACUUGGUGUGAAUUGCAGAAUCCCGUGAACCAUCGAGUCUUUGAACGCAAGUUGCGCCUGAAGCCAUUCGGCCGAAGGCACGUCUGCCUGGGCGUCACGUACCCAAUCGCUCCCCAAAACCCUCCCACAUUUCCACCGAUUUGUGGAGGGCUCGGAGGGCGGAGAUUGGCCUCCCGUGCCGUAACG
rnacentral:rRNA from 1 species